UGUUCUCAUUUAUUGAUUUUAUCUUGGUUACUUUUUCUUCGAUGGUAAACCUGCACGAUGACGAUAACGCUGCGGAAAAACGAAGUUAACGACUUAUGCCGAUAAUUAAAUCAGGUAUAACAAAUCGAUGAAACAAAUCUUACCGUGAGAUAAUAUUAUAAUUGCUAUAACCAAUUUAGUGGUCAGAAUUGAAAAAAGAAGCCGGCCACUGCAGAUCGACGCGUGGCUUACAAUUAGUGGGUGUAUUUCUUGAGUGAAAGUUGAUACGUGUGUACGACGUAUAUGCCCUAAUGUGGGUAUUCUUCAAAAAAUGAAUACCAGAGUUUUGUCAAAAGCGAAACUCAAGAACUUCGGUAAAUUAUGAAACUAUAUCGGGUGUUCUGACAAUAAGGCCGACGAACGUGCAAUCUCGAAUCAUAAGUUAUUCGUUUCGAGUAAUCUCGAUGUUCUAUAGGAGACUCGACGUAGACUUAAAAAUGAAUUUUCUUAUUGUUGGUUGGGAAAUUAUAAAAUAAUUAAAUACACGAGUGAAUCGUUACGAAAGGGCAAGAAUCUCUCUUGGUUUUCUCGAGUACCAGGAAACGCAGUGGGAUCAUUGUCUCACAUUCCUUAUAAGAAUUAGCACAUACACUUAUAUCCAACCGACAAUGAGAAUGAGACUUGAGAUUCAAUCACGAUCAGAUAUCCUUGAAUAAAUAAAUGAGAUAGCGGUAUAAGGAGUUUCAAUUAUACAUCGCGUAAAAGAAGAGAGAACCCCUCAAAGAACUCGCAUAUAAUCCGUUCGAUUUUCCGAUCAAAUAUAUACAAAGAUAUUAUAUCAGCUGUUCAGCAAAUUACGUCUACGAGACGACGAGAUACGAGCACGUCUCUGUAUAAUCAGAGAAUUUACGUACAUUCAUUUGAUUUGCAUUCAAUUAUUCUUUAAACUCAUAACGUCAACCGGAUGCAGAUUUCAGCUGUAUAUACGGAUAUUCAGUAGAGUUACUCAACCCGAUAACUGGAAAUACCUGAUACCGUGCAGUACGCUUCGCAAAAAUUAUACCUGUGUAAGGAAAAUUGAAAAAAAAAAAAAAAAAAAAAAACAGGAAAAAUAAGUCUGUUCUCAAUGCAAAAUCGUAAGCUCUUUGUGAAAUAAAUUCUGAAUACUUCACAGAUACGUUUUCCGGAUUUUGAUAUCUUGAUUGUUAUCCUUUUUUUUUGCACGGUAGAUUUCGAGAUCACCACCCGGUAGACGCCAGUAUAGUUGGCUAUUUUACACGUGUAGAUCGGUCGUGGGUUAAACCGCAGCAAGUUCGCCCAUACGAUUAAACGUGUUUGUAAGUAUGAUUCGUACCUAUAAUCAGGUAGGAAGGGAGAAAUAUGUGGCACUGUGGAUGUGAAAGACGCGUAACACCUAUACGAGAGUAAAGAAUAAAAAAAAAGCAGCAGCUAUACGUGCUAUUAGCAAACCCUCUCCUUUCUUGGCGACUUCUCUGAGUCAUUCUACGGCGUUGAUUUUAAACGAGUAGACCAAAUGGAUGAAAUAAAACAACGACAAUUUCGAUGAACGUUCUUUAAACGGGUUUGAGGCAUCGACAGAUUUGAACGAAAUGGAAACGCUCGUUAUUUUUUAGAGGCUCGCCCGAAAAUUUUUAACCGUCAAUUCAAAAUAGCCGCUACUCUUUAAUUUUUCACCGAAAAUCUCUCUCACUCGUUCGGCGCUACGCCAGCGAUAAUUGAUUUAAGUUUUUACGUAUUUUACAUGAGAGAUACGAUGGAUAUACGUGAUAUGCUUUGUAUUUGAAAUAGAAGAGCUCAAGCUAGUUUUCAUACUGCAAAUUGUAACCAACUAACUAUACUAUGUAACGAUGUGAUGCACCUUCAUAAUCAUCUACGCGCUAUUGUUGAAGAGAACUAUUGAUUUAGGCGCGGCACUUGCUGCGAUGAUCAUCAUCAUCGUCACAAGACGAUUUUUUUUCUACGAAUUAAACCCACAAUCAAGAACGGAGUUUACAGAAUUUGAAUUAAAAUGUAGAUGUGAUUCAGAGGAUUAUGUCUACAUAUGAUAUUUAUCGUGGUAUAAAUGACGAGAAUAGAUCUAAUCAACGACUUCCAUCGUGAUAUGUUAUCAUGAUCCAAAUUCGAGGGCAAACUAACGCGGAUUCUGUAUACGAUGUAAACAAACAUAAAGCUGAAGUUCAUAACGCUGUAAUAUAAAGUAAUGCGAUAAAGAAGGAUUACUUCACAGCUGUCAGUCGUUAGAACUGUCAGAAGCAAAAUUCGCGGUAGCGAAGAAUCAUCUCUUAUCAUUCGGAGAAAAUUCAAGGCUUUUCUUUACUCGUUAGUAAGGUGAUUUAACGGAAGCGAUAUUGUCAAAACGAGUGUACAUUUCUAUGUAUGCUUACAGACAUGGGAAUGACACUGACAACGUACGUAAUUGUAAAUCGCACAUACAUAAAAAAUAUUAUACGUGUGCAGAGCAUAUGACACUACAUCGGGAUGACAUUUCUCCGGUCUCUUAGAAGAAAUUUGAACAUGUGGGACUAUACGAUUGAAGAGAAGAAAAUUUGAGCAAAAACUACGAGAGAGGCAAAACAUGUCCGAAAUUUUUAUAUGGCUGGUAGCCAAAUGUUUCGAAUAUUUGUGAUUAUUUGUCUGUUACGUUUUCUGUACCGUCCAUAUGCAUAAUCCCUCUCUGUAAUUUUAGGCAUCGUUAAAUUCGUGCUCGGCGAAUAUUUGCCAGGCUCUUAAAAAUAGUGACAAAAUGAAACGUGUGAUGAAAAUUGAAAAAAAAAUAAAUGUAUCAAUUAUAAAAAAACCACAUAUCUUUCAUCGUGGCGGGAACUGAGACUCGAGUGGGGGUCUUGAGACAAAGAUGAUUUCCAAUGUUUUUAUGAUAUUAAAAUGAAAAAAUGUGGUUUUUGUUUAACGAGAAGAUUGAUAAAACGUACUGGAUACUGGAGGAAAUAAAUGUACAUACUCAUGUG